AAAGCUCAAAUUUGAAAUCUAGUACCUCCGGUGCUCGAGUUGUAAUUUGAAGAUAGUUUUCUGGUACUGGCCCUUGUCUAUGUUCCUUGGAACAGGACGUCAUAGAGGGUGAGAAUCCCGUCUGAUGGGGUGUCCAGUGCUUUGUAGAUUUCUAUCGAAGAGUCGAGUUGUUUGGGAAUGCAGCUCUAAGUGGGUGGUAAAUUCCAUCUAAAGCUAAAUACUGGCGAGAGACCGAUAGCGAACAAGUACAGUGAUGGAAAGAUGAAAAGAACUUUGAAAAGAGAGUGAAAAAGUACGUGAAAUUGUUGAAAGGGAAGGGUAUUGGAUCAGACUUGGUGUUUUGUGAUUAUCUUCCCUUCUUGGGUUGUGCACUCGCAUUUCACUGGGCCAGCAUCGGUUCGGAUGGCAAGAUAAUGGCUUGGGAACGUGGCACUCUUCGGAGUGUGUUAUAUCCCUUGGUUGAUGUUGCCUAUCUGGACCGAGGACUGCGGCUUCUGCCUAGGAUGCUGGCGUAAUGAUUCAAUACC
rnacentral:rRNA from 1 species